UGUACCGGUUUAGAGUCCCGGUGGACCGCGGAACACCACACCACGCCUCACCCGGGACAAUAUAUUUGGCGAUAGAGGGAAUUCCAGUGACCGGAGGCUUUAAUGGGAGAAAACCUCUCGUCCCAAAUCUCCCAACCCUAAGAAUUUGCUGCUCAAACGGGGGGUUUAGAUCUUCUGGCGGUUCCUUUUCUUCAUUCUCUUGACUUGAAAGAUCUCUGAGAUCAAUGGAAGAGUUCACCAUAUACAUGUCAAGAUUGACAGAUUGAAAUUUACAAAGAGCUAAUGAACAAUUAAGAGUUAGAAAAUUGAAUUAUCAUGUUGUAUUGAGUGAUAAAACAUGCGAAGCACCGUCAAAUCUUGAUGAGAAGACAAUCUGAUGGAUGAGACAGAUCAUGCACAAAACAAUAUCACAGGAAUGAUCAAGGCUGAGUAAGCUGAGCUGCAAUAGAUGUGGAGGUAGAGAAGCUCGAUGCUUGGAAAAGGUCUUACAGUUGUUUGUACUGGCUAGUCAUGUCAUCUAGCAGUACCUUUUUUAAUGAUUUGGGAAUUAAUCCUGAGUCUAGUGAUUCUCAGGAUAAUGAAGACAUGAUGGAUAUCAAUGAGCAUGUGAAUGACUAUGCUCAUCAGUUACCAAAGCCAAGUGCAUCUGUUGCUAGCAGUGUCUAUGAACUCCUAGAAUGUCCUGUUUGCUUGAAUGCUAUGUAUCCACCCAUCCAUCAGUGUUCGAAUGGUCAUACAUUGUGUUCUGGAUGCAAACCUAGAGUACAGAAUAAGUGUCCUACUUGCAGGCAUGAAUUGGGCAAUAUUAGAUGUCUUGCUCUGGAGAAAGUGGCAGCUUCUCUUGAGCUUCCAUGCAAAUAUCAGAGCUUUGGUUGUAAUGGGAUUUAUCCUUAUUAUUGCAAGCCGAAACAUGAAUCAGUAUGCGUAUAUAGACCCUAUAAUUGUCCCUAUGCGGGGUCUGAUUGCACCAUCGUAGGUGAUAUUCCUCAUUUGGUGAGCCAUUUGAAAGAUGAUCACAAGGUUGACAUGCACAAUGGGAGCACAUUCAACCACCGAUAUGUCAAAUCAAAUCCACAUGAGGUUGAGAAUGCAACAUGGAUGCUAACGGUCUUCAGUUGCUUUGGACAAUACUUCUGCCUUCAUUUUGAGGCCUUCCAGAUGGCCAUGGCACCUGUUUACAUAGCAUUCUUGCGCUUCAUGGGGGAUGAGUCUGAGGCUAAAAAUUACAGCUACAGCCUUGAGGUUGGUGGUAAUGGACGCAAGAUAAUCUGGCAAGGGGUGCCUCGAAGCAUAAGAGACAGCCACAAGAAGGUGCGUGAUAGCUAUGAUGGGCUUGUCAUCCACCGAAACAUGGCCCUAUUCUUCUCGGGUGGGGAUAGGAAGGAAUUAAAGCUGAAGGUGACUGGGAAAAUUUGGAAGGAACAGUGAGAAUCUGUGGGUCCAGAUGAUCCAUGUAAUGUGUUUUCUGAUCAUGUAUUCUUGCGAGCUUGCAGGCAAGCUCAAAUGGCUUGCAAGAAUGCAUGAGUACAUUAGUGGAAAACCAAUCUGUUACACCAUAAAACAUAUACAUGUUAUGUCAGAUAUAGGGAACCUGCUGCUGAUUCUAUUUUAUCGAGUCCAUCUGAAGGUGUUGGUGUUUGUUAUGGAAUUGUAGCUGAUACCCUAACUCAGCCUUCUGAGGUGGUGCAAUUAUAUAGAUCAGAGAACAACAUAGGGAUGAGGCUCUAUGAACCAAAUCAUUCUGCUCUUAAGUCCCUGAGGGGAUCCAACAUCCAAAUACUGCUGGAUGUUCCAUAUGGCAUGAGCUCAACUAUCUAGCCACCAAAUCCUCAAUUUUCUAAUGAUUGGAUUUGAAAGAAUGUGAUAUCAUAGUUUCCCAGUGUCAUAAUAAGGUACAUUGUUAUAUAGGCAAUGGGGUGACCCCUGGAACCUUGGCACACUAUGCCCAAGCUUCCAUGCAAAACAUUUAUCAGGUACCAUCAUUGGCAGGAUUGCAAACAAAAAAAAAUCAAGGUGUCGGCAUCAAUUUCUGUGGUGAUUCCCAGUGAAUCAUAUCCUCUCUGACAUUCACUUCUGAGGCAAGAUUGGUUUUGGAACCAAUGGCGAUGAUUUUAAUCAACACUGGAGCACCACUGUUGGCUGAUGUAACCUUAUUUUAGUUACAUUGAGAACCCAAGAGAAAUCUCUCUUUUCUAUGCCUCAUUCACAUCCCCUAAGACUGUUGUAGCGGAUGGGCAAUUCAACCAGAAUCCUUCUGAUAAAAAGACAGGUGCAAUAUAUUCAGUUUUGAAAAAAUUGGGGAGGUUUUACUGUGGAAAUCUCUUUUUUGGCAUGUUUGAUGUAUGACCGGAGUUGGAAUGGAUUGGAAUGGGAAUUGAAAUAGCCAUAUCUUUCAAUGUGUUUGGUUCGGGAUCGGAAUCGGAAUGAGAUUUGAAUACUAAGGAGAAAGUAGGAAUUGAAUUUUAAGAGAUUAAGACAUUUUCAUUAUCUUUUUGGAAUCAGAAUUAGAAUGCAACUCUUCUAAUCCAAUGAUUAGAAUGGGAGUUGCUCAACCAAACAUGUCCUUAUAGUCCUGAUGUGUGUCAUAAGGUACUUC